GAGAUCCAAAAUGAGCUCGUUGUUACGAAAGCUGUGGUGAAGAUCAUAAGGUUGUUCAAGCAUUGACUCAGAUCAUACCUGGAUUAUAAGGAGAUAUACCACCUAACUCUACAAAGGGAACACCCUUUGUAGCUGGAAAAUUUCCUCUACUAGGUCAGUUUACAUGCCAGAAUGCUAUUAUGGCUGAGCGCUUUAUUGAAGCAGGAGAGAGAUCUUUUUGCAGUUCAGUGAUGGACCAAGAGAGA